GGGGCUGACUUGGAUUUCGACAGAUUUCUUGUCGCACAGAUAGCAUGCCAAGUGCUGCUUGUAAAACAGCAACAAAAAUAACUGUAAACAACACAGAUUACGCUCCAGCUUACGCUAAAGUUGCGUGAGUUAAUCUCCUUUUGGAGCUGGACUGAUUAGAAUUUCUAGCGUUUUAAUCACUCCAUAACCUUAAGCUAGACGCUUUUAAAAGGUGGUUCGCCUUUUAAACUAAGAAACAAGAACUCUUGAAACUACCUCAAGGUUUUAGAAAGUUGGACCAGAGCUAGUUUUAAGGCUAAAAAGCUAACCAAUUUUCUAAGCAUUGUAGAAGUUUGUGUUUAGGACAAGAUUUUUGGACUGGGGUUCGAUUCCCCACAGCUCCACCA
rnacentral:tmRNA from 1 species